rnacentral:misc_RNA from 1 species
GAUGAAGAACGUAGCGAAAUGCGAUAAGUAAUGUGAAUUGCAGAAUUCAGUGAAUCAUCGAAUCUUUGAACGCACAUUGCGCCCCCUGGUAUUCCGGGGGGCAUGCCUGUCCGAGCGUCAUUACAACCCUCAAGCUCAGCUUGGUGUUGGGCCCCGCCGCCCCGGCGGACCCUAAAGUCAGUGGCGGUGCCGUCCGGCUCCGAGCGUAGUAAUUCUUCUCGCUCUGGAGGUCCGGUCGUGUGCUCGCCAGCAACCCCCAAUUUUUUUCAGGUUGACCUCGGAUCAGGUAGGGAUACCCGCUGAACUUAAGCAUAUCAAUAAGCGGAGGA